rnacentral:rRNA from 1 species
GACGAACGCUGGCGGCGUGCCUAAUACAUGCAAGUCGAACGCAUUUUCUUUCACCGUAGCUUGCUACACCGAAAGAAAAUGAGUGGCGAACGGGUGAGUAACACGUGGGUAACCUGCCCAUCAGCGGGGGAUAACACUUGGAAACAGGUGCUAAUACCGCAUAAUUCCAUUUACCGCAUGGUAAAUGGAUGAAAGGCGCUUUUGCGUCACUGAUGGAUGGACCCGCGGUGCAUUAGCUAGUUGGUGGGGUAACGGCCUACCAAGGCUGCGAUGCAUAGCCGACCUGGGAGGGUGAUCGGCCACACUGGGACUGAGACACGGCCCAGACUCCUACGGGAGGCAGCAGUAGGGAAUCUUCGGCAAUGGACGCAAGUCUGACCGAGCAACGCCGCGUGAGUGAAGAAGGUUUUCGGAUCGUAAAACUCUGUUGUUAGAGAAGAACAAGGAUGGGAGUGGAAAGUUCAUCCCUUGACGGUAUCUAACCAGAAAGCCACGGCUAACUACGUG